UCUACCGUGAGGUGGAAUCUGAAAGAAGCUGUAGGCAAACCUCUGGUCCGACGGACAGAAAUCACAUAUAAGGCGAGGUUCCGACAGAUAAGCUGGCCAAAAGCAGUGAAGUCUGAUAACUACCCCGUUUGUAGGAACAGCGUAAAUGUGGCGGAUAGAUGGAGGGAAAGAGCGUGCA
rnacentral:ncRNA from 1 species